rnacentral:lncRNA from 1 species
GGUGGUAAGAAGUAUGACUAUGAUCGCCCACAACUCUUUGUGUUCUACUCGUGCAAAUCAUCUACACAUAGACCUGGUGUGGCACCCCGAUCCGCAUGGAACAGGGGGCCUUUGCACGUCAGCCCAGGAUUACGCCUGACGCACGACAGGUCCAUGAUACAACAUUCCAGGUACAAUAAUAUUCAUCAAAUACAUGUGUAUAUGAUUACAUCAUUGAUGAAUACAAUUAUCUGGCAUAGCCCUAAGGCUAUACGGAUGGCAGCCGAAGUCUAUUUAAAUGGCGGCGGAAGUCUUGGUUUGGCAGCGUCUCACUCUGGUUGGACUCCAUAACUCACAGGACUGGCAAGAUUACGGCCUAGCACGACGAAACAAGCGAACAAUUCGGGCACGACCUAGAAAGCUGGCAUAACACGCCAGGUCAGUACAUUGAAUGUACUUGGAAGACAACCAAAUACAUAGCAUCCAAAUAAACCGAUGACAAAGCAAGAACCAAGCAUAUGCAAUAGUCUACUUCAACACAACUUCUAAGCAUGGCAUGAUAUUAACUAGAAUCAUAAAUCAAACUAAGCAUGAAUAACAACACAACAUCUACUAGCAUGGCAUAUCAAACUUACUUCUAGCAAAGCAACAACAAAGCAUAGCAUAUCAAAACAUGGCAUGGCAUCAGGAAACUAUGCUGAAAAUAAACUACCAGUUACCUCCCGUGAAGUCAUGUUGUAUUAACCUUAUGCCACAAUCACUUACUCCACCACGGCUCCUCGGAGCACCAGCAUGACAUACCGAGGCCUCUUCUCAGGGUCACAUCAACACAUCAUCGUGACUUCUCACGAUUAUCUCAUGGUUCAAGUCAUCACAUCUUAGUUAUCACACAAGUUAUUAGUAGGUUUAUCCUCCAUUUCGACCGAGACCCGAUAGUGUGACCUAAUACGAACUUGUGCCCAUGACCGAGGACGCGGCUAUCGAUAUAUUGAAUAAACUCUCCAGAGGUAGCGCACUUUACCCACACUACGGAACCCUGGCCUCGCACUCCCAUAAGUGCGGACCGCGGUGUUCCGACAAAGCCGAGCUACUGCCAUGACACUCUCCUAGCCACUCCGACCAACACCCCCUUGGGGUUCAGUCCUGGGUGGCCCCGUGUUUACCAAAGACACAACGGCCACCGUCGUGGCAAAACGGUUCCAAACAGGGACAAGGUAUACCAUAAAAACAAAAACGAGCACACAAGGUUAUGUCUGCCUACCUGAUCAGGGUAGCGCGUGCCCAUAACCUUCCCUCGCGGGAGGCACCGGCGAGAGGCAUGACAAUAGACCCAGCUAGGAACUCCCCAUAAGGUAAAUGUGGUUGCACUGGAGAAAGCUCGAGUUGGGUGGCACUGUGAUAUCCAAGUGAUGACGGAGGAGGUUUGUAAUUAAGUCAUAUUAUUAACUUCUCCAUCAUCAAUCAUCAUGCGAGCAGUAUUAACAUGAAUGCAACAACUAACAUGCAACAUACCGAUGUAGUAACAAAACAUGAAGCAUUUCAAAAGAAUAAUGAUAGCAUGCGAAACAUGGCAAUAACAAGUACUAGUAAUUUCACUAGUGCAACAGAAUUAUCAUAACAUCGAUACUAAUAACAUGAAAAUCAACUAGACAAAGGCAUGAUAUUAUCAGUAACAACAGUAAACUAGCAUGUCAACUUAUUUUAUGAAACCAUAAGCGUGCAAGACAGAUAGCAAACAUAUAGCAUGACUACAAUAACAGUAGACGGAACAGAGAUGAAACUACUGCAACCAAACACACACCCGAGGUGCGAGCAAAGUCAACAUGAAAGUUCGGGGCUCAUGAUAAGAGGUUGGCUUGCCUGGGGUCGAGAAAUACUUCGGGAAGAAGUGUGAAACGAUCGCGGAAAGAUUUGUCGGAAACAGUUCUCUCUCAGAGGGGGCUGUUUACGGACAAGGGAAAAAUGGUCAUUUUCAGAAUUAGCAAACAUGGUGAAAAUGACUCCAUCGGAACGGGCUCGGCGAAACAAAGACGUGGGCUUUGGAAUCACCUGAUUUGGAGCUAUGGUUGAAAAGAUACGGAAGUUUAAAGCUUAGGGACUAGUCUGUAAAAAUAUUUCUACAAACAGGUCCCUGGCGGUUUAAACAGAAAGCAUCUUUUCCGAAAAUACGUUUUCAGUCGGGGAAAACGGCUCGCAGCAGGGCGCCGCCACUUAUCCGACGUGGCGCUUGACCAGUCAACGCGGCAGCUGCGGGGCAGGGUGCCUGGGUCGCUGCCAUGUGGGGUCGGGGAAAAGGCGCGGGGCCCGCCUGUCCAGGUCGGCUCCUCCCUCUUCCUCCCGCUCGGGGCGCGACGAGCCGAGGGCGAUGGCCGCCUCGAUGGCCAUCGCCGGCGACUCCGGGCACUGUUCGCGAUGCCCGACCUACCCAGACGAUCAGCGGUGAGAGGAGCAUCUCCGGGUGGUGGUCUCUGCCGCCGAGGAGCAUCAGAGGGUGAGCUGCAGGGCCCGUGGCGGAGAGGGGUUCGGUCGCCGGCGGACACGGGGCUAGGGUGGGGGAGAGGAUGGGCCGAGGCUACGGUAAGGUCCGUCGAGGUGUGGUGCAUCCAUCCAGGGUGCGUACGGGGCUGGGGGGCUCGGGGGCUGGAAUCAAGAGGAACCCGAGGCGGCGGCCAUGGCGAUGGGGAUGGGAUGGAGAGCUCCUCAAGCUCGAGCUAGAGGUUCGGGGGGGAUUGUGGACUGCGAGGAGCUUGAGGGCGUGCUUAAAUAGCCGCGAGGAGGGCUGGAGGGGGAGAGGGCGAGGUGACAUGCGGCUCGGCUACGUGUCCGGGUGCCGGCGGCGCGCGCACACGGCCAAGGGUCACGGGGAGCGGCGGGAAAGCGACGAGGUGGAAGGGAGAGUGCCAGGGGGGUCACGGAGUCGAGCCGAGCUCGGAGACAAGAGGAAGAAGGAGAUAGAAGUGAGGAAACGACGGUGCACGGGCGCGUACUGUGUUCGGUGACGGUGAUGGCUCAACGAGGAAGCAAACGAAGGGGGAACGAGCUCCAAGCGCACAUAGACGAUGAGGCUGAGCUGUGCGACAAGCUUGGACGAGCCAGAUCCAGCCGGAGCUGCACUACUGUGGCCAACAGUGGUGAGACCACCGUUUUGGCCUGCUACCUCGGUGGUCACCACGGACAAGGCGCGCUUUGGUCAGCUACGCCAUGCCAAACCAUGUCAGCGGUGAAGUCCUUCGAAGGCCUAUUAAAUAAGAGGUGAUGGCACGGGCAGAAAUGUUGGGAAAAGAGGGACACGAGCUCGACAUGUUUGAUGUUGCAAACUUUGCAACAUCUUGCUGGUCAACACAGUAACCUUAGGGAUAAAACGUGAUGUCUGGGAGGGUUAGGCUAGCAAGGACUACGGUUCUGGGAAGUGGGAAAGGAUUUGGGAAAGUAUUUAACAUAGCUGCAGUACAACUGUCAAAUAUGGCCCAGAAAACAAAUGAGGCAGGAGCACUCACUAGGAGUGUUAGAUUGAGCUACCACUUGACAAUUCCUCACGAUUUGGUCAUAUGUAGAUGCUGCAAGAAGAUUAUACCAAAUGGACUUGCCAAAUUGGUACUUGAUUCACAAGCAUCACUUUUGACCAGAAAAUUGAGAAAAAUCUAAGAAAAUAUUGGCUACAUGAAAUGACCCAAUAUCUUGGUUAGGUGGGUUUUAUGGAUAGGAGAAGGCUUGGAAAUAUUUUCAGCCAUAAUGGAGCAAGAUAAAAUAUACUUGCUUCACAAACUGAAAAUUUGGACAGAAAACAAGAAUUGCUCCUGUGCUCACAUAGAUCAAUGAAAUGAGCUGAAUUUGGGUGGAGGCUGAUGAUUUGGGAUACUUGAGAGGAUUGCAAAGUUCAUCCCAUUUGGAAACCCUAUGAAGGUACUUCCUUCACAAAGUUGCAUUCUGGUCAGAAACUUUGAAAAAUUGCACAUGUAGCUAGGAUGAAUGGAUUGAGAUCAUCUUUGGUAUCCAUGGGUUAUUUAUCAAGGUUAACCACCCUGCCAAAUUUAAGCUCAAUUGGAAUUAAGAAUAAAGCACUUCCUUUGCAAAAUUUCGGAGAAGGCAGAAACUUGCAUUGGAUAAUGUGCCCAAUUUUGAACUGUGGGAUUAUGAGAUAAGGAUGGAAAUAAUGAUUAUAUAGCAAGUACAGGAUCCACAAUUUAUGUGAGAAUUUUAUCUGCUAUAAAAAUAAUAGUUCCUUUAGAAAAGGGCAGAAAUGCAAUAUUGGCAUUAAAUAGGAAAAGGCAAAAUUUCCUUAUUUAUUUAUGGCCAAUAUAAUUGCCAGAGCUUGGAUUAGGCAUAAUUAUAAACUCCACCAAUUCACAUGAAUUUAGGAGAUGGCUAGCUAUGCCUUUGGAUUUUAUUCCUUGGAAAGGCAAGAAGAGGAAUAAAUCAUAAUUCAAAAACAUUGCAUGGGACUUGGAAAUAUUUUUGUAUAUCCAAGGUUGAGAAGGAUAGGAGGGUCUCUGGGAACAGAUGGAAUGAUCAACAGAUCAAGGAAAAUGAUAGCUCCUUUGUAAUCACAAAGGCCUUGAUCAAAUUCCAAAUAUUUGUAAUUAUGGUUUGAGAGGGCUGGAGCUGAGGCAAAUGAGGUCUUGCCCACUGAAAAAGACAUGAGCAAGGUUUUGAAGGGUUGGAAAUGACAAGAAUUCUCACAGUCACCCAACAAACUCAGGAGAAAGAUUUUGAAAAUGAGUGCCAGGAAGGAAUAACAGCUCAAAAAUUGAUAACCCAAUUUUGGGGCUGUUACAAACCUUCCCCCCUUAAAUAGAAUCUCGUCCUCGAGAUUCCUAGGGUUACAGCACCAAAGGAAAGAUAGACGCUCCGGGAAAAACCUCUGGGUAAAUUUUAACCCUUCGGUCAGAUUUGAACGAGUUGGGGCACCGAUAAUUGGUACACCCAAGGAGAGAUAUGGGCAAACAUGGUUAUAUCCACGGCUAGGGGCACUCGAGAUCAAACUCUCGAAAAAUUGCUAGACGCACCCGAGUGAACAGUGGAUUCACCUGCUGACACGUGGGUCCAGGGCCCACUGGCAGCCUCCUUCUUCUACCUCCGGCUAACUUCUUCUUCUGUGUUGCUGCUUCGCAUGCCGCUUGGCGCAGCGCACAUCUAGCUCCUAGGGCGAUGAGGACCCUAGAGCCAUAGUGCGCGGCAUGCACGGCGCCGGUGCAGUGAGCACUCACGUUGCGGGCCAGCACCUUGCUGGCACUGCUCGCGGAUUCGCCUCCUGGACGCUGGUGAUCAGGCGACAAGCGAGUUUCCUGGACCUCGCCCACCGUACACUUGGGUUGGGCUAUAAAGACGGCAGCGCGGUUGUCCUCCAACACACCAACACAAUGCCGCUCUACUACCUCUUCGGUUUGGGUGAGAUCAAGCCGAGCUCCUUCGGUGAGGAGGUGUUCUUGGUGGCGCUACGGUUGUUCCUAGCUGCUCUGCUGGGCACGCUAAUCAGCUCAUUGUUUCUUCUGGUGAUACUCAUCAGGAACGAGCGGGCUCGAGGCAACGUGCAGCUGGGUGGGGUGGCUCGAGGUGCGGGAGAAGAUGGUGCACGGGGUGGUCCUCCGCCACGCUUGAUUCUCCAUUGCUUCGCACCGCCGGAGUAAUCGCGUGCUGCGGUGGAGCAGUGAUGGCAACUUGCGGCACCACGCAAGGCAGUGAUGAUGGUGAUGAUGAUGGGGUUCGGAUGCAGGUGAAGUGGCUACGCCAGCUCAGGAAUCAAACUAGGGCACGGGAAAAAUUUCACGGAAUGCUCCACGAAAUGUAGGUGUCGAGGUAGAAUCGGAGUGAAAUUUGUAUCGGGGAGUUGUACUAGAUCGAGAGGAAUAAAGCUGGCAGCGUUUCUCCGAAAACGCGAUUGGGUUAACGAAAAAGAACUAGGGACGAGAAAUGGCCAGAUGGAAAUGCCUCUUCGAGGCUCUGGGUUUAAAAAUCUGGCACACGGGGUAUGCACAGAUAGAGAGGGAUAUGUGACUUUGCUUUUCCCCGAGUACUGCCCUAAAUGUACUCGUGGGUGAACCGGGUAUGUAUGCAGGAUGCAAGGUAGUCUAAACUAACAAGCAAGCAGACAGAUGCAACAUAUAGGCAACAGAAAAACACACCAGGCAAUUCACACUAAGGUGUUUUAAUGCUAGUGGGUAUAUGUACUCCUGGCAUACAUAUACAUACACCAGCGCGCAUUUUAUUAAAGACUCGGGACGAGUCAAUGUUGUAUGUAGUGUAUGUGUUCUACUGAUUAAAAUCCUGUUAACAACACAGUGCCAACCCUGUCAAACAUUUUCGCUUGACAGAGAGACAAGCAAAAACAAAGGCACAAACAAAAGCAAGCAAGCAUACAUAGAACAUAGUAUACUGAUUAUAACAGUACCAGCAUACAACAAAACACGAACGCACUGCGCGCUAAACGAAACUACUCACUCCAGGAUACAUGGUUCUAUCCUCAUAUCGAAGAUGAACCAGCAGACCUAUCGACUAGCAAAAACCACUGACUGCGCGACUGAGGUCAUGCAGAGGACUGGCCUUGCUGGGGCUCUCCGGGAGGACGAAGACUGAGACAAUCUCCAUCUUCAUCGUUCGACACUACUAUGGGUUGGGGCUCUACUGCUGGAGGUGUGGCUGAAAUCGUUCCAAGCAAAUGCUGCUGGUGGAUCCGGAAAAGAGCCUUGUCGAGGGUGAUGAUGUUGGGCUUAGGCCACAGCACAGGCUGAGAGGAUAGCAUUAAUUCAGAUGGCAUUGGACAAACGGCUUGUGAUGCGAAUUUACGGGCCUCACGAUAAGCUUCCUUGACGACUCGUACCACAUCAUUGUCCAUGGUUCUAAACUCGGCAAGCAUCUUUGAAAUCAUCAUCCCCUGGGCAGUGAUAUAUUGCACCAGGUGAGAGAUUGUGGGAUCAUCUCCUUGGAUAGCGGGAGAAGGCUGCAUUCCUACUUCUGUCACAAUGGGGUAAAGAAGAAAUCCUGCCUCGUUGCCAUAUGCGGGUACCUGGUUCGGAGGUGAAGCAUAGCCUCCACAGCAACGGCCUGAAUGGCUAAAUCAGUGGUAGUCAUGGCCCUACCCUGAAAAACCAAAGGUUGGCCAUCUACUGCGGGACCUAGGCUGAUGUGCACUCUUGCAUCAAAGCGAUGAAGGUGAGGGACGGGUGACGAUUGGAACACCAGGUAAUCGUGGCUAGCCUUACAGCCAAACGCUUUGGUGAGCAUCUCGGCAAGAAGGGAUGGAAAGCCGGUGUGGUUGACGGCACAGGUGCGGGUGUAAAACUUGGGAGCUCUGAAGGUGCUAGCCAUGGCUGGGGAGCUACUAGCUAAGCUUUUCUGCAGGGACAUGGCUGACUGAUGAGUGAGCGAUACGGCUAGCGGAAAGGAGGGCUUUUAUAGGCAGCUAUUCAGGACAUGCCCGCAUGGUGUGGCCCCUUUCCCUUAAUGGCGAAGGGUGUGGCUGACCAGAAAGGAUAGGGUUGCUACAUGUUCCACGGAUAACUGGGCAGGGACAGCGGGGUGAGGACGUGUCGGUCCCGGCUGCACCACCUAUUGAUUAAUAGUGGCCAUGCCGGAUGCCAGGGAUGGGUCAAAUCCCUUAGGGUCAUUACGGGUUGAUGGUAGCGGUGAUCUAAUGCUAGGAUAAUAUAUGCUAGCCUGGCUGCUCUGGUAUGAUCUCCUGUGGCACCCCGAUCAGCAUGGAACAGGGGGCCUUCGCACGUCAGCCCAGGAUUACGCCUGACGCACGACAGGUCCAUGAUACAGCAUUCCAGGUACAAUAAUAUUCAUCAAAUACAUGUGUAUAUGAUGACAUCAUUGAUGAAUACAAUUAUCUGGCAUAGCCCUAAGGCUAUACGGAUGGCCGCGGAAGUCUAUUUCAAUGGCGGCGGAACUCUUGGUUUGGCAGCGUCUCACUCUGGCUGGACUCCAUAACUUACAGGACUAGCAAGAUUACGGCCUAGCACGAUGGAGCAAGCGAACAAUUUGGGCAUGACCUACAAAACUGGCAUGACACGCCAGGUCAGUACAUUGAAUGUACUUGCAAGACAACGCAAUACAUAGCAUCCAAACAAACAGAUGACAAAGCAAGAACCAAGCAUAUGCAAUAGUCUACUUCAACACAACUUCUAAGCAUGGCAUGAUAUUAACUAGAAUCAUAAAUCAAACUAAGCAUGAAUAACAGCACAUCAUCUACUAGCAUGGCAUAUCAAACUUACUUCUAGCAAAGCAACAACAAAGCAUAGCAUAUCAAAACAUGGCAUGGGAUUAGGAAACUAUGCUGAAAAUAAACUACCAUUUACCUCCCGUGAAGUCAUGUUGUAUUAACCUUAUGCCACAAUCACUU